CUGGGAUACAAGUGGUUGAGCAGCAAACAGAGAAGCAGCAACUGAGUGUCCGAGACCACAGAUAGACACGGCUAACUUCAGAUGGUGCAGCUUCAGGGAAAGAUCACCUUCUUCCUGCACCAUCCCUUUUCCAAUUCUCCAUCCCACUGAAAACUGCUUUUAUUACCCAAUAAAAUCCUCCACACACACUACCCUUCAACCCAUUCAUGGGACCUCAUUCUUCCCAGAUGCUGGACGAGAACUCAGGUGCCGAGAGGGCAGGGGCUCGGAGGCUGCUGCGGGGCCCACACAGAGCCUGUUCUCACCAGAGAGAAGUGACCCCCGGUUCCAGUAUUCACUCACUCCAGUUCCCGCACUCGCUUGCUUGUGUAGCAGGACAAGCCGCAGACAAAACCCCUCAGACACCGAGUUAAAGAAGGAAGGGUUUUAUUCGGCUGGAAGGUUCAGCAAGACUCACGUCUCCAACAACUGAGCUCCCCAGAAUGCUUUGUCACCCAAGCUGGAAUGCAAUGGUGUGAUCUCGGCUCACUGCAAC
rnacentral:lncRNA from 1 species